UCCAAUGAAUAACAUGUGUAGAGAGUGAGAUGAUAAAGGUAUCUUACUAUCUGAUCAUUAAGGAAACAUGUUGAAGUGCUGGCUUCUCUGACAACAAUGCAGCAGCCAGUAUGUCCUCCUUCUAACUUUAGAUUCUGCUCCUGAAUGCUCUGGAUUUGUUUGGACCAGAGAAGCGGUUCCAGGAGCAGAUGGGUCCGGACCGGAGAGGAGCGAACGCGACAGAUGACAGACGGUGGUCUCUGGAACCGCCUCACACACGACAGCCUGACUUUGACUGCUCUGAUCUGGUCCGUCCUGUGAGAGGCCGUCCUCUGCCAUGAACCAGGGCAGGAGAAAAUGUGGAUAUCUGCGUGUUUGUUCACAUUAUUUAACGUCGUUAUCGCAGAAACAACUUCACAAAGUGUUCAUCACAACUGAGAUCCGAACAACUACAUGAAAACUCAAGCAGAAAUGAGCUGCAAUAACAUCGUCACCAUCCAUGCAACUUCACAUUUCUGUUAUUUUAUUGUCUGGUGGAUCUAGUUUGAUGAAGAUCUGGAUUUUUGUAAUGAUCAGAUAUUCUGCAAAAACUGAAAUGAGGAAG